UACGGAGGGAGCUAGCGUUGUUCGGAAUUACUGGGCGUAAAGCGCACGUAGGCGGCUUUGUAAGUUAGAGGUGAAAGCCCGGGGCUCAACCCCGGAAUUGCCUUUAAGACUGCAUCGCUUGAAUCCAGGAGAGGUGAGUGGAAUUCCGAGUGUAGAGGUGAAAUUCGUAGAUAUUCGGAAGAACACCAGUGGCGAAGGCGGCUCACUGGACUGGUAUUGACGCUGAGGAGCGAAAGCGUGGGGGAGCGAUCCGG
rnacentral:rRNA from 1 species